rnacentral:rRNA from 1 species
CAGUCGCCACGGUAAUACGAAGGGUGCAAGCGUUAAUCGGAAUUACUGGGCGUAAAGCGUGCGUAGGCGGUGAGUUAAGUCUGCUGCGAAAUCCCCGGGCUCAACCUGGGAAUGGCAGUGGAUACUGGCUCGCUAGAGUGUGUCAGAGGAUGGUGGAAUUCCCGGUGUAGCGGUGAAAUGCGUAGAGAUCGGGAGGAACAUCAGUGGCGAAGGCGGCCAUCUGGGACAACACUGACGUUGAGGCACGAAAGCGUGGGGAGCAAACAGGAUUAGAUACCCGCGUAGUCCCUGUCUCUUAUAC